CGAGACCCAGCCCCAGACCGGGUCUCCAGCCCAGACAAGCGUCAAGGGAGCGAGAGGGGUUCCCUCAAAAGGGUGCCGAGGUAGGGGCGGCAGGAAGCUGCACGGCUACGUGAGUGAUUGUCAAGUGCUUGACGCUGCAGACAAAUGAAAUUCGCUUAAAGUGCGCCACAGCCGCAGUCGCCGUUGCAGUUAAACUUGGACUAGGGACUAGGGUUCAAGCUGGAGGCAAAGGAAUGCACUUGAAAGAAUAUCGAUUAUGCAGAUAUAGAAAAAAACUUGAAAAUAAUUUAUUUAUAAUAAAAAGAAGUAUUUGGGGAAUAUUUUUUAAUAAUAAAUUUAAGCUUUGGCCCUCGCAAGAAGAAUCAUAAAAUAUAAGCUAAUAAAAUGGACUAGCCCAGUUUCCUUCGGGAUUCUACUUUUUGUCAUGUUCUUUAUAUAUUUUUCAAGUGUUAUUAUCCCUUUUUCUUGAGGUGUAUCUGUGGCUGAAUGCUUGUACCGCAUCCCGUCUGUAGGACAACUUGACUGGCUCACUGUGAGGGGGCGUUGCUGUGACUGAGCGACUGCCGCAAGCCAAAGGCUGAGGCAUGUUUCAGCUUACCCAGCAGACUAGGCUCUUGGUAUAUAUAAGCACUUGAUUAAGGAAAUCCCUUACAGCUCCAACAUACUCCAACAUACCCUAACCGAUUCCAGGGUAUGCCCUGCCGCCUUUGGCUAUCAUGGUUCGUGUGGUUGUUGCCCGAGGCUGAAGCUGUUGCAAAGGUAACGUCAUCAUUCCUGUCGCUGCAUUCCUACCAGCCUCACACCCCCUCUCUUUUAUAGAAAAAAAGGAAAAAAUAUAUAUAUUAUAUAGUAACUAAAGGAGAAAAAUACUCUUUCUUGUUUUUCGCUUUGCUUUCUUUAAUGGAGGCUGCACUCUGCUUCAGCGAAACUGUAAAAUAGAAUCAAGCCAUUCGUCAUGUUGCGGAAAAUGCAUUUUAUUUUCUAUUCGGUCUGGCACAUGCGUGAAAAUUGCUUUAUUUUUAAUGACUCCCACAGAGCGGGAGUGGUAGUGGGAGACAGCUGAUGUUGCAUUUGCAUGGCUCCGAGAUACAAUGCAAUCCGAGCCACGAGAUGGGUGUUAAGCGUUCGUUUUGCGGUUUAUUUAAUACACUUUGCCGUGUGCGCUGCACUUGAACACGGAAACGCAAAAGCGAAGCCAAAUGAAGGCAAAUUGAUUGACACACUGAAAUCUGAAUACUUCUCAACCUAUGUGGACGCUGGAUUCUCCUCGGGAUGCUACUCUGACGCUGUUGUGUUUCACCUCGAGUGUAAAUAAUCGACUGGCUGAACCGGCACUCUUCUUGUUGUGCGGUUUAUGCGUUUUACUUAAUUACCUAUUUGGAAAUUUUAAUGCCCUUUGAUGUGGUAUGUGAGUGGGCUGGAGUAGCAGUGACUGGCUGAUUUUCCCUUCGAUUUUCCAGCCUCCUCACGUCCCAGCCCGCCCUUUGAUGUGGGCGGCUGGGGCCUGACGCGCUCGUUUCCUGUCGCGUGUAGAUAAACCCAUUCCGGCUGUAUAAAUCAAAAUGCAAUUUGUUCUGGGCCAAAAAGGGCAAGAGCUAAUAACUAAACAAACUGCGGGCCACUAAAUCAACGGGUCUCACGAUAAAGCCCAGCCAUCGGAGACGUAGUCCCAGUCGGAGUCUGGAUCUGAGGACAGCGUUUUUUUCUGCGAUGCUGCUUAGAUGAUUAUGAUGUAGUUGUUUCCAGACUAGGGCCUGUUCUGCGGCUUGGGCCUGGGCCUUGUAGGUAGACCAGCGGCGUGUUGCCCAUAAUUUAUUGGCUGACAAAACAAAUUCAUUAUGAAAUGAUAAGCCCAUGAAAAUUGUCAUGUUUAGGCCGAUGAUCAUGAUGACGACCACGGAGACGACGACUACGAGGAUGAUGAUGAUGAUGAUGGCGGCGUCUCGGCAAAGAUGAAGCGCGGAUAUUGGCCACUUGCAGUCGGCAGGCCAAACGUGACAAGCCUUUGGACAAGAAAGUAAAGAGUUCGUGGCGAACAGCGGUCUUAAUAGGCCAGGAAAAAAAGAGAUUUACACUCAGCUUCUGUGAGAAAGGCGAGUUAUUGCUUAACACAUCACGCUAGAAUUUUCCCGAGUCCCAAGGAAAGUCAGUGGAAACCCACAGCUGCAACAGCUGGCGGUGACAGUAACCAGUAACUCGUAGCCAGUAAGCAGCAGUGAGCAGUGAGCACUAACAGUUACACCACAGCCUUGCUCUGGGGCCCUCUAUCUCCGGCAAUGUCAAUGCCAUUUCUAUUUGAAGGCAGCACCCAGCAUCCCCGCUCCUAUGCCAGCUCCAACUCCAUCUACAUCUGCAGCUCCAACUCCAGCUCCCGCUCUAGCAACAGCUCAUAAAAUGCCGGAAUGACAUGAAGCUGACAGGUAGUAGAUUUUCAGCCUCAGCCUGCUGAUUGCGGUUGCCACAGCUGCUCAUCAUCAGCAGCAGCAGAAACAGCAACAGCGGCGGUAAGCAGGCGAGAUGGAGAUGGAGCCGGAGCUGGAGAGUCUUUCAGGCAUUACAAGGCUUUAAUAGACAAGCGCAGCGCAGAGCUGAAUAAGAUUAAUGAAGCCGUUUAAAACGCUUCGGUUGUUUAUCAUGCGGCAUCCCUGAGCUUCCACAGCUUCCUAGGCUUCCCUUAUAGUAUCAGGAGAAGCUAUAGCUUUGGCUCCUGGUCCAACUGUGCCUAAUGUGCCGGGCCAUUCGCCAUUUGGCCAUUAGCCGGAGAGAUGCCGACAGGGCUGCAAUCGCGGCCAGAAGGGCAACGGGCAACGGGCACCGGGCAACA